rnacentral:rRNA from 1 species
GACGAACGCUGGCGGCGUGCUUAACACAUGCAAGUCGAACGGUAAGGCCCUUCGGGGUACACGAGUGGCGAACGGGUGAGUAACACGUGGGUGAUCUGCCCUGCACUUCGGGAUAAGCCUGGGAAACUGGGUCUAAUACCGGAUAGGACCCUGGGAUGCAUGUCCUGGGGUGGAAAGCUUUUGCGGCGUGGGAUGGGCCCGCGGCCUAUCAGCUUGUUGGUGGGGGGAUGGCCUAACCAGGCGACGACGGGUAGCCGGCCUGGGAGGGUGACCGGCGACACUGGGACUGAGAUACGGCCCAGACUCCUACGGGAGGCAGCAGUGGGGAAUAUUGCACAAUGGGCGCAAGCCUGAUGCAGCGACGCCGCGUGAGGGAUGACGGCCUUCGGGUUGUAAACCUCUUUCAGCACCGACGAAGCGCAAGUGACGGUAGGUGCAGAAGAAGGACCGGCCAACUACGUGCCAGCCGCCGCAGUAA